rnacentral:lncRNA from 1 species
GAAGGGGAAGGGGGGCGCGCCAUCGCAGGGGAAGGGGAAGGGGGGCAAGAAGAACCCCUAGGUAUGGCCCAGCCUUAUGGGCUUGCUUGCUUCCCGUGACCGCGAUUUUGGUUCCAAGAUUUUGACCGCCUGCGUCAGACCUGUCGUCAAAAGUUCGUCUCUUCUGUUCUGUAGAUAAACUAGUAGCGCAUGAGACUAUAUGGGGAUGCGGCGAUACUUUUACAUGUUACUAAAUGCUUGACUGCUGCUACUACUUAGAGUAUAUAUUACUACAAUCUCAGGUGCACAUCGGUGCCCGAUCUUUCUUCUAAUUGGCAUCUUUGAGCUUCUUCUGCUGUGAUUUCCCUGCAUUAGAAUCUGGUGGCUCUGAAUAAUUAGCUAGCGUCAGAAGAUGCAAUAAGCAUGAGCACCUGAUAAAUAAUGUGUUUGAGCAUGAGCAUCUUUACCGUGCAGCAUUGACUAGAUCUAUAUGUGAUUUCAUCAACGAGAGAGCUGGGCAAGCUCUUCUUGCUGUACAGGCCUGCAAGUAUGUGAUUUUGUCAUUUCAAAUGCAUGAACAAUAUGUCAAAAGUAAGAUGUGCUCAUGGAUGCUCUGUAGGAUGUGCUUUUCCCACUCAAAAUGAAGCUUGUCUACCUAGUUAUCAGCCUGUUUUUUUUUUUUUUUGUUAUGGUAAAACUUUGUUCAUCUGAUGAGGUAAAAAAACUAUAAAGAAUCUGUGAGGCUAGAUAGUGUGAAUGACUAAUGUUGCUGAUUGUGCAUAACCAUGCUUCAGUCAAAGUGAAUGGUCAAAAACAUGUUUACAAAGUACAUGACCAUGUAGCAGUCAAUUUUCUGAUCUUGCUGCAAAACUCUGAUUCAAUAAUUUAACCCAACAUCUUGUCUACUGGAAAAUAUCCAUAUAGGCAUGGCUGAAUUUAUUUUCUGUUGUUUAAAAUGCAUGAAGAAAUGUAAACAGUUCAUAGAAGUAGUUCUGAGGAGCAUGAAAAAAUCAUGUGAUGGGUCUGGAUUGGCACUCUAGUGAUUGUCCAGUAUGUGCUAAGUUAGCGCGAGUAUUCCCACUUGCAGUGCUUGAAGUGAAAAUGAAUAAGAACUAUAUGCACAAUGGAUACCGUGUUUCAGUAAAAGUGUGAAUGACAAUAAAGAAUCUGUGAGGCUAGAUAGUGUGAAUGACUAAUGUUGCUGAUUGUGCAUAACCAUGUUUCAGUCAAAGUGAAUGGUCAAAAACAUGUUUACAAAGUGCAUGACCAUGUAGUAGUCAAUUUUCUGAUCUUGCUGCAAAACUCUGAUUCAAUAAUUUGACCCAACUUAUCUUGUCUACUGGAAAAUAUCCAUAUAGGCAUGGCUGAAUUUAUUUUCUGUUGUUUGAAAUGCAUGAAAUAAUGCCAACAGUUCAUAGAAGUAGUUCUGAGGAGCAUGAAAAAAACAUGUGAUAGGUCUGGAUUGGCACUAGUGAUUGUCCAGUAUGUGCUGAGUUAGCGCGAGUAUUCCCACUUGCAGUGCUUGAAGUGAAAAUUAAGAAGAAUUAUAUGCACAAUGGAUACCGUGUAGGUUGGGAUACUUACUAUUGAGGUAGCUAACACCCCAACAGUCAAGGGACCUAUUUACCCACCAGAAGUCUGUUCCAUUGGUUUAUGUACGCAAACCUGUUGCUUGUAACAAAAGGAAUACUAAUAAAGUGUAAAACAGAGAUUCCAUUGCAUUACCAGGCUUUCAGCAAAGUACCACACAAUGGUCAUCGUGUAGUCAUCGAUAGAAUAAUUGUUCAAAAAAACAUGUAUAUACUUGCUCUUAGAGCCUCUUCGAUUCACAAGAUUCUCAACAGGUACUAUGGAACGACCUCUAUCCCUAAAUAUUGAGUACUACUACCUCUGUCCCUAAAUAUUGAGUACCACUACCUCUGUCCCUAAAUAUAAGACGUUUUUGCAGUUCAAUUUGAACUGCAAGAACGUCUUAUAUUUAGGGACAGAGGGAGUAUAUGGAACUGAAAAGGUGUUUGCUUAUGUGUAAGAAAAACGAAAUAUUCUUUCCAAGAGAUGAGGCCGAUGGAAAUUUUCCUAAAAUCUAGUACUACAAAUAAAUCCUAUGGCCCAGUUUGGAAUGUGCGUAAAAUUUAGUAUGGUUUGCUAAUGACCAUACAAAUUUUACACACAUUCAAACAGUCCUUGAGGGGAAAAUAAUAUGGUUUAGUAUUGCGAAUCAAACUUGCCAUGGGUAAAUUUCAAAAAUGAUUAAAAUCCUACAAUGAUCUUCUGAAGAAACACAUGAUUGUGAUCUCAUGUUCAAUCUAAACCUAUAGGAUGUUUUUUGCACCAGAGUUUGUUCCGCGCAUCAUUAAGACAAGAGCAAAGAAUAGAGUUGACAGAAAAAUGGUGAUAACGCGUGCAAAGUAAUCUUUCUGAAACUAUCUAUGAGAUUAAAUCAUGCAAAUCGAACAACCUACAAAAAAAUAUACCCAAGGGUUCUAAUCCUCCGAAUUUACUAGAAAAAUCCUGUUGAAUCAAAUAGGCCCUAAGAGUCAGAUGCUCUUAUAUAUUUUGCAAUGACUCAAAUGAAACAAAAAAAACAUUUUAAUAGGUUUUAAAUCCAGCAUAUUUUUGCAAGACCUAUUAGUUGACCUGCAGGUAUCUAUAGUUGUCUUUUAGGCAUAUAUAUUAUUAUUUUGCUCUUACCCGAAUUUUUCUAUUCAAAUAGGCUUUAAAAUCAUACUCCCAUCGUAUAACGGAAGCAUGGCCUUUAGAUAUCUAAUGGGCUUUCAAAUUGUACUCCCGUCAUAUACGGAGAGAGUAGGAGAUCCAUAGGAGCUGCACACAAAAUACAUGCCAUGAGGCAAGUGAUUGUUUUAGCAACAGUGGGAAAAAAAUCCUCAACAGACAAGAAGGCUUUAGAGGCGGCCUCUACAGGCUACUGCAGUGGAGUGGUAAAGGGUGAGGCUGCCCUUGACUUUGUUCGGUCCACAGACAGACUACAGAUUGUUAUUACGAGCAGGCAUCAGAAAAAAGUGGCUGAGCUGAACUCAAAUGCGGUCAGGCUAAGUAUACAUAUACACACACUGCAAAAUACAGUGUGUCAAAACGGCAAGGCUUCUGUGCAAGUAUGAAGAUUUGGGAGCAAACUAGACACAACGGGAAAGUGGACCAUAAUACUGUACUGAUCUGAUCUGGAGAGAAGAAGAAAAAUGUAGGUGGCUUAUUAAGAAAUGCAUACUUUUCUUACUAAGAUUCUCAUGAAAGAAAAGCAUCACUGAAGGACAUAAUGAAUAGGCCAUGUGUAUGUGUACUGUAUCCUGAUGCCAAUGCUAUAUUUUUAACCAAAAUUCCCAGUGACUAGAUUACCCAUUAUCUACAUCCAAGAUUAUUUCGCAACCUUUUUACAGCUGACGGGUAGAAAUAAUUACUUGUUUUCAAAGAGGAUUCAUGCUCUCCCUAUAGAGGUAUACAUUCACCUCCAACGCAGAUGUAGACUAGGCUGUUGAUGAUCUGCCAUCCAUCCCUGGUUGUCAUCAAGAAAGGAGCAGGAUACCAGGUGAAUGCAAAUCCAAAUAACUAGUGCUGACUCUUAUUGGAUCAUAACCACAAAUAACUAAAAAUACCAAACGCCAACUAAUGAGAUGGAAGAACGAAUGAAAUAAAAAUCCAAACUUUAGGAUCAACACUGACUGGGCAGCACCGAUUGGCAAGAAUUUGCUACAAGGACCACAGUAGAGAACACCUAAAAAGGUAGAGAGAAGAGGCAAAAAAAAUCAGAAUCGAUUAUACCAAGAAUCAGAGAAAGCAAAGAUGGAGGAAGAAAGCUAAGGGCGUAGCCAUCAGGCAUAAAGUCAUCACCUGACGAAAAAAACCAUCAACGUUGAAGGAUAUGGCCAGAUCUGAAUCUGCAAUGAUUUGCAGCCCAACCAGAUCCACCAAGAGGAUGGUUGGACGCCCUGCUGUCAGUGAGAGCAGAUCAGUGGAAGCAGAUCGAACAGCAGCUUCCGGCGACGCCGGACGGAGCCUCCCGCGAGAGGCAGAGCGGCUCCUCGCGUGCAGGCGAUGCCUCACCGGAUCCAGCAGCCCAAGUCCCCGGCGCGCGCCAUCCUGGGCGCCACCACCCCAGAUCUGGCCCGCGAUAGAGAGCGGUUGGCCGCACCACCCUCCAAAGCCGCGGCCGUCCGAGUCUUACCCUUAGUUGGAGUACAGCGAGGUGCGUGCGCCCAUGGGCUGGUAGUAGAUCGAUCGACCAGGAGAUGGGCACGGCCUCCAGAUGUAUCGGUAGACCGACGGUUGCCGCGGCGUCGACGGAGGAGGCAUGGCGGCUACGGUUUGGGGUUGGGGUGGGGGGCGAGAGCUCGGGGAAGAGAUAGGAGAGGGGAAGA